rnacentral:rRNA from 1 species
GUUCAUGUAAAAGACGGCUUUUGCUGUCACUUUUGGAUGGGCCUGCGGCGUAUUAACUUGUUGGUGGGGUAACGGCCUACCAAGGUGAUGAUACGUAGCCGAACUGAGAGGUUGAUCGGCCACAUUGGGACUGAGACACGGCCCAAACUCCUACGGGAGGCAGCAGUAGGGAAUCUUCCACAAUGGACGAAAGUCUGAUGGAGCAACGCCGCGUGAAUGAAGAAGGCCUUCGGGUCGUAAAAUUCUGUUGUCAGAGAAGAACGUGCGUGAGAGUAACUGUUCACGUAUUGACGGUAUCUGACCAGAAAGCCACGGCUAACUACGUGCCAGCAGCCGCGGUAAUACGUAGGUGGCGAGCGUUGUCCGGAUUUAUUGGGCGUAAAGGGAACG